GACGAACGCUGGCGGCGUGCCUAAUACAUGCAAGUAGAACGCAGUGGCGGACGGGUGAGUAACGCGUAGGUAACUGCCUCAUAGCGGGGGAUAACUAUUGGGAACGAUAGCUAAUACCGCAUACUGUGAGAUGGACCUGCGUUGGAUGAGCUAGUUGGUGAGGUAAAGGCUCACCAAGGCGACGAUACAUAGCCGGCCUGAGAGGGUGGUCGGCGACACCUGGACUGAGACACGGGCCAGACUACUACGGGAGGCAGCAGGAGGGAAUUUUCGGACAUGGAGGGAAGUCUGACCGAGGAACGGCGGGGGAGUGGAGAAGGGUUUCGGGGUGGAAAGCUCUGUUAUUUUGGAAGCGGUAACUAAACAGAAAGGGACGGCUAACUACGUGCCAGCAGCCGCGGUAAUAC
rnacentral:rRNA from 1 species